UCGCAGGCUGCAACCCGCCUGCGUGAAGUUGGAAUCGCUAGUAAUCGCGGAUCAGCAUGCCGCGGUGAAUACGUUCCCGGGCCUUGUACACGCCGCCCGUCACACCAUGAGAGUCGGGAACACCCGAAGUCCGUAGCCUAACUUUAACGAGGGGGCGCGGCCGAAGGUGGGUUCGAUAAUUGGGGUGAAGUCGUAACAAGGUACC
rnacentral:rRNA from 1 species